CAGUAGCCGCGGUAAUACGGAGGGGGCUAGCGUUGUUCGGAAUUACUGGGCGUAAAGCGCACGUAGGCGGCUUUGUAAGUUAGAGGUGAAAGCCCGGAGCUCAACUCCGGAAUUGCCUUUGAUACUGGAAGUCUUGAGUCCGUGAGAGGUGAGUGGAACUGCGAGUGUAGAGGUGAAAUUCGUAGAUAUUCGCAAGAACACCAGUGGCGAAGGCGGCUCACUGGCCCGGUACUGACGCUGAGGCGCGAAAGCGUGGGGAGCAAACAGGAUUAGAUACCCCGGUAGUCCCUGUCUCUUAUAU
rnacentral:rRNA from 1 species